rnacentral:rRNA from 1 species
UACAUGUGGGGCAAGCGUUGUUCGGAAUUACUGGGCAUAAAGGGUGCGUAGGUGGUUUGUUAAGUCAGGGGUGAAAUCCCGCGGCCCAACCGUGGAACUGCCUUUGAUACUGGCGAACUUGAGUGCGUGAGGGGUAGGGGGAACGAGCAGUGUAGCGGUGAAAUGCGUAGAUAUUGGUCGGAAGGCCAGAGGCGAAGGGGCCCUACUGGUGCGUAACUGACACUGAGGCACGAAAGCGUGGGGAGCAAACAGG